AAUUAUACAGCGAAACUGCGAAUGGCUCAUUAAAUCAGUUAUCGUUUAUUUGAUAGUACCUUACUACAUGGAUAACCGUGGUAAUUCUAGAGCUAAUACAUGCUGAAAAUCCCGACUUCGGAAGGGAUGUAUUUAUUAGAUUAAAAACCAAUGCCCUCCGGGGCUCCCUGGUGAUUCAUAAUAACUUCUCGAAUCGCACGGCCUUGCGCCGGCGAUGGUUCAUUCAAAUUUCUGCCCUAUCAACUUUCGACGGCAGGGUCUUGGCCUGCCAUGGUGACAACGGGUAACGGAGGGUUAGGGCUCGACCCCGGAGAAGGAGCCUGAGAAACGGCUACUACAUCCAAGGAAGGCAGCAGGCGCGCAAAUUACCCAAUCCCGACUCGGGGAGGUAGUGACAAUAAAUACUGAUACAGGGCUCUUUUGGGUCUUGUAAUUGGAAUGAGUACAAUUUAAAUCCCUUAACGAGGAACAAUUGGAGGGCAAGUCUGGUGCCAGCAGCCGCGGUAAUUCCAGCUCCAAUAGCGUAUAUUAAAGUUGUUGAGGUUAAAAAGCUCGUAGUUGAACCUUGGGCCUAGCCGGCCGGUCCGCCUCACCGCGUGCACUGGCUCGGUUGGGCCUUUCUUUCUGGAGAACCCCAUGCCCUUCACUGGGUGUGGUGGGGAACCAGGACUUUUACCGUGAACAAAUCAGAUCGCUUAAAGAAGGCCUAUGCUCGAAUGUAUUAGCAUGGAAUAAUGGAAUAGGACGUGUGGUUCUAUUUUGUUGGUUUCUAGGACCGCCGUAAUGAUUAAUAGGGACAGUCGGGGGCAUCAGUAUUCAAUUGUCAGAGGUGAAAUUCUUGGAUUUAUUGAAGACUAACUACUGCGAAAGCAUUUGCCAAGGAUGUUUUCAUUAAUCAGGAACGAAAGUUAGGGGAUCGAAGACGAUCAGAUACCGUCGUAGUCUUAACCAUAAACUAUGCCGAUUAGGGAUCGGACGGUGUUAUUUUUGACCCGUUCGGCACCUUACGAUAAAUCAAAAUGU
rnacentral:rRNA from 1 species